UAGCCCAAGAGUGUGAACAGGUCACAAACUAGUUACUUCAACAAAAGCCCCAGAUGUUGGAAGCAUGUCUGGCUGAAAUGUUCACACUGCAAUAAAGUCCUUGACAAGAAGUAUCGUCCAACACCCAGAAGGUUGGAUAGCCACCAAGGGGCCUUUACUUUGUAUUUGAACAGACUUGAGAGAUGAAGAUUCUUCUUGUUACCCUCAAUCAGAGAGUGUGCUAUUUGGAAUCAUUGCUCCCUUCUGAACCAGCUCAGUCCUCCCAUCGUUCAAGUAAUGUUGCAACAGUGGCUCCAUCUAGUGGGACAGACAGCUCUACAACAGUGGCUCCAUCUGGUGGGACAAACAGCUCUGCAGCAGUGGCUCCAUCUGGUGGAACACAAACAGAUUGACAGCAGAAAAACAAGCAGGUUUUAAGUUGAGCUGGACAAGAAAAUAAAGUAGAUUGAUCUACAGGAUUGUCUGCAAAAUCAUGGUUUUGUUAAUAGAAAAGCGAAGAUGCCAUCACAGAUGUUAAAUCAGACUUGUUUUUACAAAAUUAUCAAGUUUUUUUUUUUUUUAGAUGAGUGUCUGGUGAAGACUGGUUCUCACGUGUAAUUUAUCCCAUAAAUCUUAAACUUGGCUAAAAGAGAUGUGAAGGAAGUCUUCAUCAUUAUUAAAUCAUUCUUUUUAUAAUAUUUAUAUAAGUUGAGGAUCUAGUAAAUACUGGCACCCAGUUUAAUUUAAAUGUAAUUAAUCUUUGUGUAAAAAAAACUGCAUUUAUCUUCAUGAAUGAUGUUAAAAGGGACAUUUUUACAAGUAUUGUUUCAAGGUGUGCAUGAGACUAGUGAAUACGGACUUUCACUCAGCAAUUAAUACCAUUUCAAAAUAAUUGAAGUCUUUAG